CGUACCCUGGAGUGGGGGAUAACGUAGCGAAAGUUACGCUAAUACCGCAUACGAUCUAAGGAUGAAAGUGGGGGAUCGCAAGACCUCAUGCUCCUGGAGCGGCCGAUAUCUGAUUAGCUAGUUGGUGGGGUAAAGGCCCACCAAGGCUUCGAUCAGUAGCUGGUCUGAGAGGACGACCAGCCACACUGGAACUGAGACACGGUCCAGACUCCUACGGGAGGCAGCAGUGGGGAAUUUUGGACAAUGGGCGCAAGCCUGAUCCAGCAAUGCCGCGUGAGUGAAGAAGGCCUUCGGGUUGUAAAGCUCUUUUGUCAGGGAAGAAACGGUGAAGGCUAAUAUCCUUUGCUAAUGACGGUACCUGAAGAAUAAGCACCGGCUAACUACGUGCCAGCAGCCGCGGUAAUACGUAGGGUGCAAGCGUUAAUCGGAAUUACUGGGCGUAAAGCGUGCGCAGGCGGUUUUGUAAGUUUGUCGUGAAAGCCCCGGGCUCAACCUGGGAAUUGCGAUGAAGACUGCAAGGCUUGAAUCUGGCAGAGGGGGGUAGAAUUCCACGUGUAGCAGUGAAAUGCGUAGAGAUGUGGAGGAACACCGAUGGCGAAGGCAGCCCCCUGGGUCAAGAUUGACGCUCAUGCACGAAAGCGUGGGGAGCAAACAGGAUUAGAUACCCUGGUAGUCCACGCCCUAAACGAUGUCUACUAGUUGUCGGGUUUUAAUUAACUUGGUAACGCAGCUAACGCGUGAAGUAGACCGCCUGGGGAGUACGGUCGCAAGAUUAAAACUCAAAGGAAUUGACGGGGACCCGCACAAGCGGUGGAUGAUGUGGAUUAAUUCGAUGCAACGCGAAAAACCUUACCUACCCUUGACAUGUACGGAAGGCCGGAGAGAUCUGGCUGUGCUCGAAAGAGAGCCGUAACACAGGUGCUGCAUGGCUGUCGUCAGCUCGUGUCGUGAGAUGUUGGGUUAAGUCCCGCAACGAGCGCAACCCUUGUCAUUAGUUGCUACGAAAGGGCACUCUAAUGAGACUGCCGGUGACAAACCGGAGGAAGGGGGGGAUGACGUCAAGUCCUCUUGGCCCUUAGGGGUGGGGCU
rnacentral:rRNA from 1 species